UGUGAUAAUAAUAUUAUAUAAUAAUCAUAUAACAGAAAGCAACUCUUCACAAAGGAUGAUUUCAUUAACAUUCACACCUUUCUUCAUCGGAGCUUGCUUAGCUUUCUCCUUGGUGACUUCAGCCACUAAAAAGGGAAAUGAAGUGAAAAUAUUCUUUAAAUUUAAAUAUGAUUUUUUUUAAAUUGGAGGUAAAAUAUUGGUAACUCUUACCUUUCUUCUUAGGAGCUGGUUUAGCUUUCUUUCUUUCUUCCUUGAUAAUUUCAGACUCUAAAAUGUUUAUUUAUUAACAUUUAGAGCAAAUAAAAAACUUAAUACAGCAUGAUAUAAUAUUCUGCUUGGGAAUAGUGUUAAAGUGAUUGUUAACACAGUAAAUCAAACCUUUCUUCACAGGGGCUGGUUUAGCUUUCUCUUUGAUGACUAAAGCUUCUGAAUUUAUAAGGAAAAAUGUUAAUUUAACAUUAUUAAAUACUUUAAUAUGCCUUAAACAUCAAAGUACCUUUCUUUGGUGCUGGCUUUGGCUUUUCCUUAGUUAUUUUGGGUUCUGUAAAACAUUUUAGUAGAGCAAAUUACAAAUAGCAAAUAAAUAAACAAUUUUGUGUUACGUGAAUUUUGAAUUAAAGGGAUACUCCACCCCAAAAUGAAAAUUUUGUCAUUAAUCACUUACCCCCAUGUCGUUCCAAACCCGUAAAAGCUUUGUUCGUCUUCGGAAAACAAUUUAAGAUAUUUUGCAUGAAAACCGGGAGGCUUGUGACUGUCCCAUAGACUGCCAAGUAAGUACUGUCAAGGUCCAGAAAAGUAUGAAAGACAUCGUCGUAAUAGUCCAUCUGCCAUCAGUGGUUCAACUGUAACGUUAUGAAGUGACGAGAAUACUUUUUGUAAGCGAAGAAAACAAAAAUAACGACUUUAUUCAAUAAUUCCUUUGUCAACAGUCUCCUCUGUGUCUCUCCAAAUCACCGUAUGCUGCGUAUGCUCUUAUGUAUCAGCCACGCCACAAGGAUGCGCUGUUUUCUUUCAAAUCAAAGCUAAAUACAAGUAGAAAUAGCACAUCCUUGUUGCCCAGCUGAUACAGAAGAGCAUACGGUGAUAUGGAGACGAUGUAUUUCAUACUUUUCUGGACCUUGAGAGUGUAACUUACUUACACAGUCUAUGUGACAGGCCUCCCGAUUUUCAUCCAAAAUAUCUUAAACUGUGUUC
ensembl:lncRNA